rnacentral:rRNA from 1 species
UACGUAGGGUGCAAGCGUUGUCCGGAAUUAUUGGGCGUAAAGAGCUCGUAGGCGGUCUGUCGCGUCGGCUGUGAAAACCCGCGGCUCAACCUCGGGCCUGCAGUCGAUACGGGCAGACUAGAGUGCGGUAGGGGAGACUGGAAUUCCUGGUGUAGCGGUGAAAUGCGCAGAUAUCAGGAGGAACACCGCUGGCGAAGGCGGGUCUCUGGGCCGAUACUGACGCUGAGGAGCGAAAGCGUGGGGAGCGAACAGG